rnacentral:piRNA from 1 species
UAAAAAAUGUCAUUACCCAGUCUCAAGUA